rnacentral:rRNA from 1 species
UACGAAGGGUGCUAGCGUUGUUCGGAAUUACUGGGCGUAAAGCGCGCGUAGGCGGCCAUUCAAGUCAGAGGUGAAAGCCCGGAGCUUAACUCCGGAACUGCCUUUGAAACUGUAUGGCUUGAGUGUCGGAGGGGAUAGCGGAAUUGCUAAUGUAGAGGUGAAAUUCGUAGAUAUUAGCAGGAACACCGGUGGCGAAGGCGGCUAUCUGGACGACAACUGACGCUGAGGCGCGAAAGUGUGGGGAUCAAACAGG